rnacentral:rRNA from 1 species
UACAGAGGGUGCGAGCGUUAAUCGGAAUUACUGGGCGUAAAGCGCGCGUAGGCGGCUUUGCAAGUCGGGUGUGAAAUCCCCAGGCUUAACCUGGGAACUGCAUUCGAGACUGCAUUGCUAGAGUAUGGGAGAGGGAAGUGGAAUUUCCGGUGUAGCGGUGAAAUUCGUAGAUAUUGGGAAGAACACCGAUGGCGAAGGCAGCCAUCUGGACCGACACUGACGCUGAGGCGCGAAAGCGUGGGGAGCAAACAGG